rnacentral:rRNA from 1 species
CACGUAGGAGGCAAACGUUAUCCGGAUUUACUGGGCGUAAAGCGCGUGUAGGUGGUUCUGUAAGUAGGGCGUGAAAGCUCCCGGCUCAACUGGGAGAUGCCGUUCUAAACUGCAGAGCUAGAGGAUGGUAGAGGGAGGUGGAAUUCCAGGUGUAGCGGUGGAAUGCGCAGAUAUCUGGAGGAACACCAGUGGCGAAGGCGGCCUCCUGGACCAUUCCUGACACUCAGACGCGAAAGCUAGGGUAGCAAACGGGAUUAGAGACCCCGGUAGUCCUAGCCCUAAACGAUGUAGACUAGGCGUCGGUGGUUUAAUCACCAUCGGUGUCCAAGCAAACGCGAUAAGUCUACCGCCUGGGGACUACGGCCGCAAGGUUAAA